UACAGAGGUCUCAACCGUUGUCCGGAUUCAUUGGGCGUAAAGGGUGCGUAGGCGGCGCGGUAAGUCGGGUGUGAAAUCUUGGAGCUUAACUCCGAAACUGCAUUCGAUACUGCCGUGCUUGAGGACUGGAGAGGAGACUGGAAUUUACGGUGUAGCGGUGAAAUGCGUAGAUAUCGUAAGGAAGACCAGUGGCGAAGGCGGGUCUCUGGACAGUUCCUGACGCUGAGGCACGAAGGUCAGGGGAGCAAACGGG
rnacentral:rRNA from 1 species